UGCCCGGUGGUGUAAUUGGCAACACACUUGACUCUGGAUCAAGCAUUCCUGGUUCGAGUCCAGGCCGGGCAGCCA
rnacentral:tRNA from 1 species